rnacentral:rRNA from 7 species
AACUUUCAACAACGGAUCUCUUGGCUCUCGCAUCGAUGAAGAACGCAGCGAAAUGCGAUAAGUAAUGUGAAUUGCAGAUUUUCAGUGAAUCAUCGAAUCUUUGAACGCACCUUGCGCUCCUUGGUAUUCCGAGGAGCAUGCCUGUUUGAGUGUCA